AAAGAAAUAGCUACAGGAGAAGUACUAUUUUUACAAAAUAGUGAGACUUGUUUGAAUCAAGUUUUCUUUAAA
rnacentral:tRNA from 1 species